GGAAAAGAAGACAAGGUUCGGAAUGUGAAUAAUAGUGAAGCAAGAAGUCCUCACAGGGCUUUGCACCGAGCAGGAUAACAGUGAAUACAAGCUAAACACAAAAGUUAAAUGUUCAGUGUUCUGGAGGGAACUUCUGAAUUUAUUGUAGCUGGUGCUCCUGCCUCAGCCAAGUAAGCCCACUACCAAAGGCCCUCAGCUCUGAAUUCUCAGUCUCAUUCCAUCCCACCUAACUAACGUCCUCUCCGGAAACCCUGUCCAAGCUCUGACUCGCUACUGUAUUUGAUCAAGCCAUUGGUCUCACAACUGAGGACUCAUUUACAAUCAAACUGCUCCAG